rnacentral:rRNA from 1 species
UACGUAGGCAGCGAGCGUUGUUCGGAAUCACUGGGCGUAAAGGGCGCGUAGGCGGCCUGAUAAGUAGGGGGUGAAAUCCUGCGGCUUAACCGCAGGGCUGCCUUCUAAACUGUCAGGCUGGAGCACAGUAGAGGCAGGUGGAAUUCCCGGUGUAGCGGUGGGAUGCGUAGAGAUCGGGAAGAACAUCAGUGGCGAAGGCGGCCUGCUGGGCUGUUGCUGACGCUGAGGCGCGACAGCGGUGGGGAGCAAACAGG